GUGGGGUUCCCGAGCGGCCAAAGGGAGCAGACUGUAAAUCUGCCGUCAUCGACUUCGAAGGUUCGAAUCCUUCCCCCACCAC
rnacentral:tRNA from 2 species